rnacentral:lncRNA from 1 species
GAUCCUUCUCCUAGCAGCCUUCAGAUCAAAAUGUAGAACUCUCAGCAACUCCUGAGCCAUGGACACAGCUAUGCUCCCACCUUGAUGAUAAUGGACUGAACCUCGGAACCUCCAUCGGAUACAUUUGACCAGCAGCUGGAUAUGAAUAAUAAACCUGCAGUAAGUGAGAGUGUGGCUGAGAUGAAGGCACAGGAUAAAACAGGGCUGGAGAGAUGGCCUGGUGACCAAGAGGACCCAUUCCCAGAACUCACAUGGCAGCUGACACGCAUUUCUAACUCCAGGCCUAAGGGAUCUUCAGGUGAUUCUAAUCUACAAGAAGUGUGCUGAGCACGUUGACCUUGGACUUCAAAGCUAUGAAGUUGUGAAAAAUGGAUUUCACAGUGCAGUGGUGGCACAUAACUUUGAUCCCAGCACUUGGGAGACAGAGACAGGUGGAUUUCUGAGUUCGAGGGCAGCCUGGUUUACAAAGUGAAUUCCAGGACAGCCAGAGCUACACAGAGAAACUCUGUCUCGAAAAACAAAACAAAACAAGCGAAAACAUGGAUUUCUCUCAAGUCACCACACCGUGCUGUGUUGUUAUAGCAAGCAUGGGCAGGCUAAUGUGCUUAAAACAUCCAGUACAAGUUGGGCUUAUUCCUGGGCCCAAGUCAAAUAAUACCAUCCCUCCUUUCAACCCUAUACCUCUAACGCUGAGCUCAGGGUCGAGUGUCUGCUAUAUUCUCUAUAUGUUUGCUGAAUGACUGGAGGAAUAAGUGAACCAUUUACCCUCCUCAGGCACAGGGCAUCUUCUAUGCACAUUACUUCUAGAAACUGGAAGCGGGCUGGGAUAGAGUAACCAUGCCAGCAAGAGUUUAGCACUAUCCAAAGGAAAAGAAAGGGGGACCCUCUGCAGCAAUCAGGAUUUAGAAAAACUGAAACAACUCCCCAUAACACAGAUCUGUGGUAUUUCCCAGUUCUUUCAAAUACAUUUAAUUCUGCACAUGGAGAAUAAUGGCAUCAUUAUUUAAUCCAGAAUACAAUAACAACAACAGAUGGCUCAUGUGGGUGCACAAGUUCCCUGCAGAGAAUUUAAUGUGCAUGUUGCCUUUUUCCACACAUACAACUAAGGCAGUUAGAAUAGGGGCCAGUCCAUUGAUGUGGCCUGCAAAUAGAAUGUGGAUGCCUAUGGUGGUUAUAACAGCAAAGGGGGGGGGGGAAACAAAGAAAGCCCAAGGGUAUAGCUGUGACUCCACUUAAAACUAAUGCAUACCUUCAUUUUAAUUCUUUGGAAUAGUCCAAAGAAAUAUCUGCUGUUCCUGAAAGACUGCUGUCAUCCCUGGUAGAUACUCAUCAAUUAUUAUUAAGUAUUGCAUAGUUCAGGUCAAGAUAUAAUAUGUCUGAGAAAAACCAUGGCACCUCCUUUUAAUCUUGCGUAGAAAACAAUUAAAGUAUAUAAAGCACAUUAUUAAAA